CUGAGAGUAUUUCUCUAUGAGCCUCUUGAUGAGGUCCACUUGCUCCAAAGUCAUCUGCACGGCAUUGAGAUGCUGUGAGUCACAUGGCACGUAAGCGGCCCAAAACUGAAAAAUAAAUAUUUUGCAUUUUUACUCCGCCUUUUGAACGACCAAUGAGAGAACGGGAAAGUAGAGGGCGCUAGUAGUGUUCCUGAAAUUGGUGGAACGCGUGGAACGCCAUUUUUGUAAAUUCAACAUGUGGCGUCGUUUGCGAGGUCGUUUGUCCUUUUGUGCAACUUUUGAUCGAAAAAAAGGGUGCGAGACGAGAUUCAUUUGUUCGCUGACGACAAUGGUGUUCACAUGCAGCUCCCGACUUUUUGUUGAAAAAAGGGAACGAGACGAGAUUCAUUUGUUGCCGGACGACAAUGGUGUUUACGUGCAGCUCCCAACUUUUUGUUGAAAAAAGUGAAUUAUGGUGUUCCAUAUGCAAAGGACAGGAGUUUGCUAAAGUUCCAUUAGCAGUUCAUUCAACUUAUUUGGAUUAAUGGAAAAAAAAUUCUCAUCAUGCAUCUUCGAUAUUCAACUGAAGUGGAUUUCCCGUUGUUUGCACUUUGGUUCUUGUGGAGGAUAAUAUUGAAGCAACAGCGAAGGCCGAGUUUACUGGACAAAUAGCAAUUUUUGCCGAGGACCUGAUUGGUGAAUAAUCCAAGGAUCUCUUGCUGCUCUGCUGACUUCGAAAGUGUUAACGAUUUGACGCAAAAGUUCAAUCAACAGGACAAGGAUUUUCGCAGGAGUGGCUUGAAAGGAGUUCCGCAUCGUCUCAACGCGAG